rnacentral:ncRNA from 1 species
UCCCACGCUUCCCUCCCUGAGCGUGGCGCCUUUUAAGGCAUUUCGCCCCGACCGAUCCCCUUGGUCGGGGCUUUUUUU